rnacentral:rRNA from 1 species
AUAUUAAAGGUUGUUGCAGUUACAAAGCUCGUAGUUGGAUUUGUGGUGGUCCCUGUGGUCCGAUUUCGGUACUUUCGGGGACUUCCAUCCUUGGGUGGAUCCUGUGUGGCAUUAGGUUGUCGCGCAGGGGAUGCCCAUCGUUUACUGUGAAAAAAUUAGAGUGUUCAAAGCAGGCUUACGCCGUUGAAUAUAUUAGCAUGGAAUAAUGAGAUAGGACCUUGGUACUAUUUUGUUGGUUUGCGCACCGAGGUAAUGAUUAAUAGGGACAGUUGUGGGUAUUCGUAUUCCAUUGUCAGAGGUGAAAUUCUUGGAUUUCUGGAAGACGAACUAAUGCGAAAGCAUUUACCAAGGAUGUUUUCAUUAAUCAAGAACGAAAGUUAGGGGAUCGAAGAUGAUUAGAUACCAUCGUAGUCGUCAUACUUUGUUUCCUGAUGA